rnacentral:ncRNA from 1 species
UUAUAUAUUUAGAUUAUUUAUUUAAUAUAUUUAUAAUUUAAAUAUAAUGUAUUAUAUUAUUAAAUAGGAUUUAAUAUAGAGGUUUUAUAAUUUUUUUAUCAGUAUAUAUAUUUGUACAAUAAAUGGGAGUUUUAUACAGAAAUUAUAUGUGGUAAUUGGAUAAAUUUGUGCCAGCAUCUGCGGUUAUACAAAUAAUUAGGAUUAAAAAGAUUUGGUUGAAAAUAAAGUAGUAUAAUAUUAUUAUGAGGAAAGAUUAUAAUGAGUUUUUAGGUAAAAUUUAUAUAUAAAAUUUGAUUGUUUUUUUUUGUUUUCUUUAUUAUAAAUGCUUUGAAAAUUCAAUAAUAAACUAGGAUUAGAUACCCUAUUAUUUUGAUUUGUAAAAAUAAAAUUAUUUUACCUAAGUAUUAUGAAUUAUGUUUACUUUUAUAAGAUUACGUGUUUAUUUAAAACUUAAAAAGUUUGGCGGUUCUACAUAUCCAAUUAGGGGAGCUUGUUAAUUUAUUUGAUAAUCCUCAAUUUAAACUAACUUUUUUUUGAAAUUGUAUAUAAAUUCAGUUUGUAUAUUGCUGUCGUCAGUUUAUGUUUUAAGAAUUAUAUUAAAAGACUAGAAAAUAUUUAAAUUUUUAUGUCAAGUCAUAAUGCAGCUUAUAAAGAAGGUUUAAUGAGCUACUAUAGUUAAUUUUAUUUUAUUCCGGAUUUAAAAUUAUAUAUUUUUAUAGAAAGGUGGACUUAAUAGUAAUUUUUAAUUAGUGUGUAUAUGUGAAUAAUGGUUUUGUGGGGUGUACAUAUCGCCCGUCACUCUUGUUAUUUAGAUAAGAUAAGUCGUAACAUAGUAGAGGUAAUGGAAAUUGUUUCUGGAUUUAU